rnacentral:rRNA from 1 species
UACGUAGGGUGCAAGCGUUAAUCGGAAUUACUGGGCGUAAAGCGUGCGCAGGCGGUUGUGCAAGACAGAUGUGAAAUCCCCGGGCUCAACCUGGGAACUGCAUUUGUGACUGCACGGCUAGAGUGUGUCAGAGGGGGGUAGAAUUUCACGUGUAGCAGUGAAAUGCGUAGAGAUGUGGAGGAAUACCGAUGGCGAAGGCAGCCCCCUGGGAUAACACUGACGCUCAUGCACGAAAGCGUGGGGAGCAAACAGG